GGUUGUUCCAGCAAGUCCGAUACAGUCAUGAUAUAACAAUAUUGUUAGUACAACCUUGUGUUGUCAACCUUGUAACAUUCUCGUUAUAUCAUGACUGAAUCAGACUUGUUAGAACAACC
rnacentral:miRNA from 1 species